CUACUACUCCCUCCGUUUCAAAUUACUUGUCUUGGAUUUGUCUAGAUAUGGAUGUAUCUAGCACUAAAAUGAGUCUAGAUACAUCCGUAUCUAGACAAAUCUAAGACAAGUAAUUCGGAACGGAGGGAGUAGAAC
rnacentral:pre_miRNA from 1 species